rnacentral:lncRNA from 1 species
AUUUGCUCAUGUCUCAUUCCUCACAUUUAAAAACUCCCUUGUAGAAGCAAACUGGAAGGAUGAGGAAUACAAGGUCUGAAUUCAAAGUCAGGGCCCUCGUUACAGCUGGGACAGAGUUAAUUUUCUUCAUAGCAUCUGGUAUGGUGCUAUGACAACACACCAAUGUUUUAUUUGUUUCUGAGCAGUGGUUGCACAGAGUCAAAAGACAUUUCAGCUUCCCCUAUUGCCCUGCCAGUGAGGGGACUAAGGGUGGCACAAGAAGCUGAAAGAGGAUGGAACCAGGACAGCUGAUCUAAACUUUCCAAAGGGAUAUUCUAUACCAUGUGACAUAAUGUGAAAGAUAUAAAACUGAGGGCAGUCGGCCAGAGGGACAGUCGCUGCUCAGCAACUGGAUGGGCAUCAGUCAGUGGGUGGCCUCCAAGAAUGGUCCAGUUAGUCCAUCUGAGUGAGAUGUGGGAAACCAAAUGUAAUCAUCUGCUGAGUGAAGACUGUAGACUGACAUCUUCGAAUAUCCCUGGCUUGGAGCUGAUAAAUGGAUGCAUUCCUUCAGCUCCUCUUGUUGGCUAUUCUCAGUUCCAGGUACCUGUCUGGAAGAGAAGAAGAACUACGGUCCCCAAGAGCCUUUUCAAGUACUGUUAUCAUUCCUGCUCAAGGGAACAGAUAUAAGGGCGCAGGUCAUCUGACUCGGCCCUCUUCUCAUCUUGCUGUGUUCCCUGCCGGAUCGGCUCGCUACUGCUGCUCCUGACUGCAUGCAAGGCUUCAGUAUUAGCGUGAGGCCUUUGGCUCUCGGACAAUCUUUCUCUCAAUUAUUGUUGAUUUAUAUUGCAUUAUAGUGUGUUAUCUUACAUUCCGAUACUAUAUUUAGUAAAUUAGUUUGUUUCUCCUCAGAUCGUUGCCACUGUUUUUAAUUAUUUUGGGGUCCCCUUUUUCCCUUCCUGGAGGUGUGGAUUUUGCGAAGUCCCUCUGCCCCACUAGUCGCGGAACUGGGCCGGACCAGCCCUUAAACCGUUGACACAUCAUAGGCCAAAAAAAUAAAAAAAAGAGACACUGCAUUCACAGUAGAUCUCAUAUAUUAAAACUGACAUAUAUUGAAUUUGGUCUAGUAUAUUUUAGGUCUAAACAUUUUAAGAAUAGAAACUGGAGGCAGCCGAUAGAAGACUGUGUUCAAUUGUAAUGAGAAAAUAAAUGUUGUUUUAACCACACCUAAUCUGGCAACCUAACAGCUAAAACACUGCUGCAGACUAGCACUAUAAUUUAAAAUUUUAAAAAGGUUAUUAAUAAUUUGAUAUAUGAAACACAGGUAUUUUACUGAAGAGGAAUGAAGAAAGAAUGAGGGACUGAAGGAAAGAAUAGAGGAAGAAACAGAAGGAGAUGACAUUCAGUGGGGAAUGAUUAUGAUGAGGUCCUUCCUUCUCCUUUCCAUGUUUCCCAGACUGACAACAUGAGGUAGUGGGCAAUUUUUGAAAUGUCACUGGACUCAGAUUUUAUUUUGUUUACUAUGAAGGAUAAUCAUUCAGAGAGCUGUGGUUUAGCACUGCACACUCAAAUCUAAGUAAUGUAUAUUUUUAGGGUUUCUAUGGCUCUUCUGAUCUUUAUUUCUUGAAAAGAUCCAUUUGCCUCAAGACUGUUCCUCUCCUGCCAACAUUAAUUAAAGGAAAAUAGGUAGGAAUUACCCUUGAGUUAAAAGGAAGUCUUUAAUAGCUCCAGGAAAGGUGAAAAUUGUUUUCAGGUAUUUUGAUUCAAUUAUUCUACCUAACAUUCAUUCUGUCUACAUAUAAUGAAAGGAUAAAUAACCAAGGAAUGAGACAGAGGCAAUUUGUGGAAAAAAAAAAAAAAAAAGCCAACAGGAAUGAUCAAAGACAGCAAAUAUUGAAAAGGAAAAUAUACCUUUUUAAUUCUUCUAGUUCUCAGUCUUGUUUACCUUUCCUUUUUCAUCGUCAGUCUGCUUUAGUUUAUAUAUCACGUAUUGAUUGAUCUUGAGCUAGUAAGUGGAAUCAGAUCCACCCCCUCUCCUGAAUAUCUGUUAUACCAAAAGUCAUAUGCAAAACAGAAUAACUGUACCAUCUUCAAAAAGACUAUUAAAGGAGAAACCACUGCUUCACACUGAGUCAGUUUAAACAUCUGAUAACCAUUUCAGCUGAUGCACACACCCAGACAUAUCUCCUGAGGAGUGAGACAGCUGCCCAGACCUUUGGCUCUAGGGAACUCUUGAAUCUAGUGGCCACCCAUGGGACUGAGGAAGGUGAGGGGUAUCAUGGGUGCAGAUGUGCCCAACUGAAUGAUCUUCCUGAGCACGUGACCAGGCUGCAAGAGGAGGUCAUCGAAUCAUAGAAUCAUAGAAUGGCUUGGGUUGGAAAGGAUAAUCUUUGCGGCCCUCCUCUGGACCCUCUCCAUGUGCUCCACAUUUUUUCCUUUAUUGGGAGUCCCAGACCUGGAUGCAGUACUUCAUAUGAGGCCUCACAAGGGCAGAGUAGAAAGGGACAAUCAUUUCCCUGCCCCUCAUGGCUACCCCUCCCCUCAUGCAGCCAAGGAUACCACUGGUCUUUUGAGCUGCAAGAGCAUACUGCUGGCUCAUGUUAUGCUUUUCAUCCAUGAGGACUCCCAAGUCCUUCUCCACAGGGCCACUCUCAGUGAGUUCUCCCAGUCUGGGCACAUAUCACAUAUCUGACAUUACUCUGACCUAAGUGCAAAAUCUUGCAUUUUGCUAUGGUGAACCUCAUUAGGUUCACAUGUGCCCACCUUUUGAGUUUGUUGACGUCCCUGUGGAUCAUGGCCCUUCCUUCUAACAUGUCAACUGUGCCACUCAGCUUGGUGGCAUCGGCAAACUUGCUGAGGGUGCACUUGAGCCCACCAUCGAUGUCACUGAUGAUGUUGAAGAACAGCAAUCCCAAGUGCAGUGAAUGCAGUGCCCAUGCUGUCCCACCGCACACAUAGAAACAGAGCAGAUUGAGUCAGGUGAGUAUGAUCUGGAUUUCCUACAGCCCAGUUGUGAGGAGCCAGGACCCAGGUCACAUCUGGGAUCCAAGUCUGUGUGGAUGGGCCUACUCUAGAAAAUGAAAAACAGUCUGAAGGGAAUCAGAUAAAGACUUCUCUGGAGAGCAGUCAUUUUUUUUUUUUGUAUUUUAUUUAUCUGAUGGACAGUUCAGUGGGCCUUUGAUUUAAAUUCCUAUGUGCUUAAACAGUGAUAAAAGACUGAAAAUGCAGAGAAAAUUACUGUCCAGUGUCAUCUCCCUAAAUAAAAUUUGCUGUAAUCUUCAUACACUUUUUUUCUUUCUGUUUUUUUUUUUUUUUUUUUUUUUUUUUUGCAUAAAUAACAAGUUUGGAAAUUUUAAGAUACUUUUAUUUUCUCAAUGAUUUCAUUCUCUACUGCAGUUUUAUAUCUAUGUUUACCGAUGUUUCCACCAUUUUCAAGAAAAGCCCGGAAUCUUUCUUCAUUUCAUAUGACUCUUGAUUUUUUUUAUUUUGUGUGUGUGUGUGUGUGUGUGUCACUAUUUACUGAAGCUGCUGUUAUCCACAAUUUUCCUCAGUCUUAAUGCAAGGAUAAGUUUUACCCUUAUAGUUAUAAAUAAUAUUGCAGUGAUACAAAAACUUUACUUUAUCCCAGUCAUGCUUACCAGAGCUCCUGGCAGAAUCCCAAAAAUCAGCCUCAGCUGCAGUAGUACACAGUUCAAUCCUCACUUUAUUCCCAGACUUGAGUUACCCUUUUCUCCUUUUGUUUUAGCAGAUGUAACAUUACGGCAUCAUGCUUGCCCUUACAUUUUAUGGCCAAGAAGGAAAAUGUUCCUCAUGGAAGCCUUGGAUACUGUAAUCAUCAGACUUUCUCUCCCAGCUUUUUGUCCCUGAACUUGGCCUCUUGUUUCUGUCCAAUUGUCCUGAAUUUAUGGGAUCUGGGUAGUUCAAGCAAAUCAGUCCCCAGAUUGCUCUGAAAGCAGCCAAACUCCCAUCUACAUACUUAAGGUUUUGUAAAACAAAAGGGGAAAGGAGGGCAGAGGGAAGCCAACAGGUUAGUGGGGCUUCUCUUUAUGAUUCCUCAGGGGAAGAAAAAUAACACUCUAAUGAUUUAAACAGCCUGAUGUGUGUUGUCAAGGCCCAUAAGUCAGCACCAAAGAGGUAUAUGCAGCAUGCCCUAUAGCAGCUAAAAAAUGCAUUUGCCAUAAAACGAUACUGUGUUAUUCACCUAAUAUUAUCCACAAAUCCAGCCCAGGCCCUUUAGUAGGUGACCAAUUUAAAUAAGGUAAAGCUCUGGAGACUGGCCAUUACUAUACAGUGUACCUUUUAGAACCACUCUACAAUAAUGAUCUACCUGAGAAAAUACCCUUUGUACAUGCUUCUUUUCUCUUUUUCUGGUUUCAGAAUCUUAAUUUUGACAGUAUUAAGGUAUUUUGUAAUAUAGUUAAUUUUUGCUGUAAACAGAGUCAGUGCUUCUAAUUUAAGGAGUCCCCACAGUGUUUAAUCUGCAAUUAAUUUGAAUAAAAUAUUUAUGUUAGAGAUAACUCAUAAUCAAAAUGACGUUAAUAUGAUGCGUAUUUGAAAUUACAAGCAGUACAACAUAUGCAUAUUUUAUUAAACAUUCAUAACAUCAUCGAGGACAACCAUUAAUCCAUUACUCAAGAUAACUUUAGUCUAUCUCUAUUUGAAGCUGGAACAUUAGAGAGGGAGAGAGUUUUCUCUGAGAUGCAACACAAGGUACAUUAAGGAGACAGUAAAUUGGUUCUCACCUCUGUUUCAUGACAUCCUGGCAUAAACAGAUCCCCAAACAUGGAAAGGCACAGAAGUGUUGCUGAACAAGGUGCAACCAUGUCAGCCCAUCAUGUGUUGGCAAAUAUCCUUCACUGAAGCUGCAGCGCUGAAGCCACUAAAUUUAUCUCAAAUUUGGAAAUUAGUCACUGAACAUCAUUGAUCAUAUUUUUGAUAUGGCCAAGGAAUUAUUUGGCCAUAAUGUUUUCUGAAGUCAAAUCUGAGCUGCCAGGAGAUACCACUCAGUAACAAUGCUUUGCAUGUUAGCAAAAUAUGUAUUAUUUCUGUCAAUUAGCCAAGCAGAGAAGCUGAGGAUCACUACAUUUUAAUACAGGCUCACUUAACUUUCAGUAUUAUUAAGACCCUGUGAGUCACUCAAAAUAAUGAUUCCAAGUGGGGGGAAGGAAAGGCAGAUAAUGAAACCUGCAGACAUGGAAGAAGUUUUAAUACUCCUAGGAGGCAUUAUACAGAAUGCCAGACUGGACACCUACUGAAAGUGCUGGAACCAUUGUCUUUCUGUAAAAGUAAGUAAAUGCUCAAAAUAAAUUCAUCAAGCUAAUGCUUAUUUUAUAAAAGCCAGACCGAUUUUUGUUGAGGGGAGGGAAUUCUUAUCUUAUAUUUAAUCUGGUCAUUAUUUUUUUGUAGGUUGGGCUGAAUGGAAAGUAGUUAUUGCUUUUAAUUUUGGAUCCUAAAACACUAUAAAAGUACCACUCACCUAAACUUCCACAUAAUGAAGUGCAGUAACCCUUCUGGAAGAACCAGUGGAAAAGAAAAGAGAGAAAAAAAAAUAACAAAAGCAUCAGAAGCAUCACCCUGUGGCACCUGUUGACAGAGGGAUAAAGAAGAAAGUUUAAUCAUUGUUGUGUGACCCCCCUGGACAGCUUUGUGGUUGUCAAUCAGCAUCAUGCAGAGCUGUAGUGUGCCACUCGCAGUGGUGAUGACCAGGCCUGCCCCAGGUUUCUCCUUCACUAUUUUGUAGGACAUCUGUAGUUCUUCCUUUAUCCAGAUUUGUUGCUCAUUCCCUUAAGAUCCCAAUUUAUACAGUCCAUUUUCAAGAUUCAAAUAAAUUUGGAUUUGUUAUAUCUGCAGGUAGAUAUCAGAACAUUCACCUUGCACUCUUUCCUUUGUUCAAGGAGCUUUAUGAGGUUUUUCUGUUUACUGGUAUUAUUUUAUUUUUCAGCUAUAAAUUAACUUUAUAGUAAGCAUAUUUACUCCUGUGCCAGGGGACAGUUCACUAAAGUUAACAUAUAUUUCCAAUGUAUGACUAGAAUUCAACUUAGCACAGAAAAAACUUUGGGUUGUUGGGUUUCUUUUUUGUUGUUUUUGUUUUGUUUUGUUUUGUUUUGUUUUCUGUGUCCUACAAGCAUAAGAGAUCAAAAGCAAUCACUUUUGCAGAGCAGGGGGUAUUUUACAGUUUUUUUGAGGAUCUCUACCUCUUUAGGCAGGAACAAUAUAAUAUGUACCUGACACACACUAAAGUAGAAGAUAUAAAAUGUGGUUUGCCCUGACUAGUCUGGGAACAGAAACAGAAUGAAAAGCUUAUCUUUGUUAAGUGAGGUAUCUACAUGCUAUAAGUCUUUGUAGCCCUACAUCCUCCCAUUGUUUUAGGAAAGACAGAGCACCUCUUUUCAAUUAGGAAAAGAAUGCAAGCCUCUAAGUCUGCCUGCCUGUUUUUCCACUUGGACAUGGACCUAUCACACAAUUCACUGAAUUCGGAAAGGAAAGUCACAGUACUAGUUAACAUUUUUAUGACUUGUUUACUUAGAGAAAUAACAUUUAACCACGCAAUCUAUUUUAACUAAAAGAAAAGAAAUACUCAAAGAAUGUGUAUCAGAGGAAUCUACUGUUUGUAUAAAAAUAUGCUUUCUAUCACAGAGAUGAGAUCGUGCCAGAAACUUGUUAUGAUUUCUCAACAUUCUGUAGCAUGUGAGGUAAAAAAAAAAAAGGCAACUUUACAAUAAAUACAUCUGCGUACUGUUUUUGUAAAUCUGCAAAGUAAGAUUAAAAAUUAUUUUUCUUCAUAUCAUUAAAAUCAAUAAAAUAUAAACAAGCAUGGAAGCUUCUCAGAUAAUAAGCAUCAUAAAUCUACAGUUUAGUUUUCUUUAAAAUGUUCUGUUUACAUGCAGAAAUCCUGCUGAAAGAUGUGGCAGGAACCAUGGUAUUAUCUUCAUUAAAAAAAGAUAUUGCAAUAUGUUAGUGUCCACAUGUUUACUUUGAAAUAGAUCAUAAUGUCUGAGGAAGUAAACUCAGCAUUCCUCCAUCCUAUGGAGGAUGAGGGGACACAUCUCCUUUGUAAGCCACAGGUUCUAUAUUUGCUACAAACAAGAAAAUAAUUCUAUGUAAUGUUACUGUUAUUGUACAGAAAGAUACACACACACACAUGAAACUAUGAAAUACAGUUUUGUAUCUGAAUUUGAAGCAGAAUUUCUGGAGUUGAUACACAUUUAAAUAUAAUUCAUCUGUCAAGAUACAGAAGGGAACUACAGUACAAAUAAAAAAAAAUCCUAUUAAGACCGUAACACAAAGAAAGAAUUUAUCAAAUCUCUCUGUCUUUCAUUACGUAGCACAGUCUUUUUUUAUACUGUUAGAUUCCGUGUUUUAAAUUAAAAUUAAAACAAGUUGCAAAAUAUAACAAUGAAUUAUAACUUGUGGUUUUAGCAUUCUGCAUCUACCUUGCCUUCAGAAGUUCUAUAGGAUGGUAAAGGCAUACAAGAAGUGACAGUCUCAAUGUUUUUUUAAUAUUAGUGGCACCAUGAAGAUGUCACAUAUUUUUUAAAAAAGUUCAUUACUGUAGUAAAAAACUAGUGAUGAUUAACAUACUAGUUCCUCUGUUGCUUAUUUUUUCUAAAAAAAUUAAUUGCAGAAAUAACAACUUGUCAGCCUCCGUCUACUUAUGUAUUUUUGUACUGACAGAUACAAAAGUAUGU